CAUCUUCUAAAGACAAUUGCCUACCUAAAUGCAAAGUCUGAGAGACGUGGUUCACUUCCUUUAGCUAGUCAGUCGGCAAUUCUGCAACAGUGUCUCUAACUAACGCUGCACUAGUUGACAGACAGCAUUACAGCGUGAAAUCCAGCUUGUGAACAGGUUCUGUAAGGAAUUCUGUUCAGGAGGUCGCAUUUCAGGCUCUCCACAUCAUAUGUGAUGGACUUUUACGUUAUAACAACGAUCACACACUAGGAAUGUUAUAAAGCGCCUAUAUAGGAGAUUCUUUUAUAUAUUAUCUGACUUUAUAAACUCCAACAACAAUGUGCUUCUAUUUUUUUUUCCAGGCUAAAUCUACCCAAGACACUGGCUGUCAGACUGAUUUAGCUGCAUGAAUGUACUUGUCCAGGCUGAUGUGAAACCUUCCCUGUAGCAAAGCCAUCCAGUUUAGAGCUCACAGCCGCAGUGUGUCUGGUGACCCACAGGGACCAUGAUGAAAAUUCAUCUUCCAGAAGGUCCCAGAGCGUCCAGACCCCCUGAAAAGACCAAGAUGUGAGGUGUCUGCUGUUGAUUCCAGCUUCCACCUCAGUGACAGUGCAAGCUCAGUGAACUGUUCAAGGAGGCUACCGAUUCUGCCCCUGUGACACUUGGUGGUGACGUGUGAGCUGAUUCUCCUGGAAAAUAACUUUUACAUUAAAUAUUUUGUUUUUGCUAUCAAAAGUAAAUUAACUAACAUGCAUUAUUGCAGGACACUCAGCAAAAUAUAGACUCUACACCAUGAGGCAUGCACACAUUAAUAUUCUAUAAGAGCACAUAAGGUGAGCAACACCACAUAUUGUACACUGUCCUGAAUUUGUUUUCUUUCUGCAUCUCAUUAGCCUGGCUGAUCACCUGAUAACUCCUGUCAUCUGGUUAUGACAGCAUGAGGAUGUCCUCACACACCUGUAACCUAUCAGCUCAUCCUGCUGAAUAGAGAGAGAAGAGACCACACCACAUCUCCUGUUCCUGGAAAGCCUUCAGCCAUCCUUCGAUGACUGAGAACCUCCAUCAGCUCUGUCUCCUGUCUGCCUACAAUUAUUAUAAUAAAUAUUGUGUUUGACAAGUUUUUUGUGCUGCCAAAUAUCUCAUUUAGAUUCGUUUUGAUAUUUUAAUGGAUAUUUAUAAAUUACAUUGAAUAUCACAUUUUUGUUGCAUGUUUAACUAGCUCUAUUGUGAUUAAUUAAGCUAGCACCUCACUGUUAAAAGCUCGUUCUAAUUUCAAGCAUGUUUAAGUAUUUAUGGACAUGAACAAAAACAGGAAAUAUAUAAAUUGAGAUUUAUUUAAUUAAUAUAACAAAUAAGGGGGAAAGAGUCAUUGAAAGGCACGUUCUUCUGAAAGUUCCUGAUCCUGAUGACACCAGCAGAGGAGACCAGCUGCAGACACCAGAGACCAGCUGCAGACACCAGAGGACCUAGAACCAAGAGAGCAGCUGUUAUCAGUAAAUAAAGAAAUCAGGGCAGUUUUAGUGGGCUGAACACAUUACAGAAUAAUUUUCUCAUGGGGUAUUUUCAUAACUUUAUAUGCAGCAGACUGUAACUUGAGCCCAGAGCUACCGGAGAGCUGCUAUCCAGCACGUUUCAGUGGUUUUCCUGCUUUAACAGGUUAGAUUAACUGUUAAGCAGCUCAGCUAUUUGUUGCUGAUUAAAACCAGGUGUGCUGAAGCAGAUAAACCUCUAAAACAUGCUGAAUACUAGCUUUUUAGGGCCGUGGAGACAAACCCUGCAGCUAAUCCAAUGCUAUGGCUAACGGCUACUUACCUUUCAGAGGUGAUUCUGUUGGGUCGGUUCUGGGAGUUUCAGGCAACUCACAAGCUCAAAACAAUAAGACUCAGGUCCGCUUGUCUCCUCCAAAUAGACUUGGUCCCUUUCUUCUCGAGUGUCUGUGUAAGGAGGGGGAGAAACGUCCUCCACUUCUAAUAACUGCUCAGAGUGAAGGGAGCUAGCUUCGUCUAGUUAGCCAUCGUCUUCGUCACUGCCGCGGCUCCGCCCUCUCGGUCCUCCAGGCAACGCCUACUAAUGUUGCAUUUUUUAAAAUUGAUACGUGGGUGGAGAAGGACUCCGAGGCUCAAUUGACCCGCUCUU